rnacentral:lncRNA from 1 species
AUGACCUCUUCCCAAGAAUUCAUUAAAGAGCAAGACACAGGGAGGAUGGAGAGAGCAUCGUGGACGCCAUAUGUGGAGAGAAACACAAAACCAUUCUGUGCUGAUGUCCCACGAAGUAAGACCACCUUGUCACCAGAGGCUCAGGCCACACGGCCAGGUGCAGAACGUUUCUUCCCACAGUUGCCCGAUCUCUGUGCUUUCAAAUCUCCAACAUCCCAAGACCCUGAACCCAGUGUGUCUAAUGUGAUAAAGGAGGAGGCAGAGGAACCCUGGGAACCCGCAUCAGAAAGCCCUGGCUGGAGGCGGCCUCAGGGAGGAAGCGGGUGGGUGCAGAGAGGAUGUCAACCCCACCCCGGGGUCAGACGUGGGAGGGGCCCUCUGGCCAAGGGAAGAACAAACAGGGAGUGCCUAGAAGAGCCUGUUCACGCUUUCAAGCCGGGCCAAGUGGGCUGAGUGAUGCCAGGGGCCAAGGGAGCACCAGCGACCCAGCCAGGGACCCAGCAGGGGACAGCCAGGGACUCGCUCUCUCCUUCGGAGUCUCAGGAUGCUGGGCCCACGGGGGAAGAGGAAGGCCUCCCUUCCUUUGGCCCCUGGACCACUCAGCCCUGAGCUUCGAACCCCUGACUGAGGCCUGGGAGGCUUGGGGGAUGCUCCCGCCCGGUUUGAGUGGACUUGGCCCCUGGCCGUGAGGGCCCUAGGGGGGCUGUCUCUCUCCCCGGGGUGCAGCCGGGGUCUCUGCAGUAUUUUUGGAGAUGGUGAAACUUCUCUGGAGGAAGAGGUCCUGGGGCACGCACGGCUCCAUGUCCACGCAGCCCUCCUCUCUGCUGGGAAGUUCCAAGGGAGCCACGACCUCGGGGACCUGCAGUGAGACCUCCCGUCAGAGUGCCCCUCCUAACGUGGAGCACCAUCUUUGUGUCUGUCGCACAGGCACAAGGAGCCUGGUCAGGGUGCUCACUAUUGGGAUAAAAAGAUCUCUCUGGGGGUCAGGUGUGGGAAGUCAGGCACCUUCCAGAACCCUAACCCAUCCAGGUGAAUGCGGCUUUGCCUCAGGUAUCAAGAGAGGAGAACUCGGUGCUGCUAAGAAUGAUUUUUAAACCUGAGGACUUAGUGAUCAAGAACAAUUAUUUCGCACAGGAAAUUCUCAGAGGCAAGGAAUUGCUCAUAACACUUAUCUGGAAACCCCACCACCGAUUACAAAGUGAAUAAGAGACAUGCUGACUUCUCCGGCCUUGAGCUGCUGUCACCGUCGGCAUUUCUGAACUCCAGAUCUUUUACCCCUCAACUAAAAACAUCUACCUCUGGAGGUCCAGAGGGAUGGUACAACUUCCUUUUAUCCCUCGGAAUGUCUGCCUGCCACUUCUUCCUCCAUAUUCUUCCAUCUGAGUGGGGUUUUUCUGUGUCCCCACGGCUCCCUUUUGCAUCUCAGUGGCAUGCUCCUGGCCUUCUGGUCUACCUCCUCUACCCACCCCUGGACUCUUGGACAGCCUGAUUAAACCCGCUCCCACUGGUGGGUGGCUCAUGAAAUCUGCACAGGGAGGAUUCCAAUCCCCCGCCCUCCCCAGCUGCACAACCUCAGCACCUGCACCUCCCCUCCAGCAGCCCCACCCCAGCCACACCUGGCUUAUUAUCGGUGAAUUGUGGUGGAAGUCCGCUCUGAUGCACGCACCUAUCAUUCCGCUCGCUCUCUAGUUGUUUCUCCUCCAACCCCACACAGCUAACAGCUCUCCAACCUCAUUUCCUCCAUGACCAUUUCCAUCAAACCCUGGAGGUAAAAAUCUCACCAACACUCCCUGUCUUGUUGUUUCUCUUGCCCACGGCUUCCAAACGCUCUGCUUUGCAAAAAUCCCAUAGUCUCAGUCGUCUGUUUCUACACUGCAGUUCUGAGCACAUGGGCCUGAAGAACAGAGCCCAGUCCACGACAUCCAGUCUCACCUGGGCCUUGGACAGUGCACCGGAAGCUCUCUGCCUGGAGCUGCUCUUCUCAAGUCGGGGCUCCAUCCCCACCCCCAUCCCCACCCCCUCCAGCAGCUACCUUCUCCCUCAGGUCCAGACUCCACUCAGAAAUGCCUUCCCCACCCCCACCACCUUCUCCGCUGGGCUCCCUCCCCCUUCGGGGGCCACAGGGAAGCAUCGGGCCUUCCCCAGGGGCUCCUCCAUCUGGAGUAAGUGCUCGGUACAGGUCAGCCAGUAUUAUCUUUAAUCUGGGCCCCUUCACUCGGAAUCCAUCACCCUGCUCUCUGCCAGAACCCUACUUUACUGCCCUGACCACACAGUAACCAUUAUUUAUCCACGUGCUUUUCCUCAUAUACAUCCACAGGUUCCUUGAGAACAGAGGAGACUCACUGGCUUAUGGAAGGACGUAGGACUGAGAAGAUUUAGAAAGUGCCAAAUUCUAAUAUGCUGUACCACAGAAAAUGCCCGACUGUAAUCUAGUAAGAAACCAACAAAUGAGAAAUAGAUUCAUGAAACGUUCAACAAUAAGGAAGUUGGGGUGAGAUCAGUGGACAUACCCAGUGGGUAGGGGGGAGGGGGUGACACCAACACCAGGGCUGUGCCAGCUCAAGUCCAGCAGGUUCUCAGCCCUGGAGGUCAGACACUCCCUGGUCACCUUCCUGGUUCCUCCUCUCCAUGAGCAUCAUGACUGCCGGUGCUGUCACACCUAUGUCCUAAGUUGAAUAUUUACAGGACUUUGGAAAAAAAAGCAAGAUAACCAACCACAGUGAGCAUGUGGGGGUGAAGAGCCAGCAGGCAAAAAUGACCCAGAACUGUUUGGUGGGUCUUCUGAGAUGACCCUAUGGUGAUCCUGAACUUGACAUGUUUUAGGUCAUAAAGGGUCCCUAAGUCAGUGUGGAUAUUGGGUCUAGGGUCUGACACCCCACAUGUGGUGUGUCAGCCAUGUCUGAGAACUUGUUGGAAAUGCAGAGUCUCAGCCCUACUCAGUCUGAACUCGAACUUUAUUGAGCAAGAUGUGGGCAGAUUCAAGUUUGAGAAGCCAUGUUCUGAACCAGAAUCUGACGCAGAAGUGCUAUCCUGGCCUGAGACACAGCAUCGCUAACAGCCGCUCAGGGAGGCAAUGCUGCUGAGGGGACCCCGCAUUUGGUGGCUCCGACAACCAGGGGAACAGCCGUCACACCCCCGCUGGCUCUCCCCUGGCUAUCUGAGUCCCUGUGUUUCAAGUGAGAGGAAGACCAACACCAAGGGGUUUAAACAGUGGCCGACCUGCAUCUGCUCACGAAAGUGAAGAGUCCAGAAGCCUGGACCUGGAACGCAGGGUCUCUGGUGGGGGUCACGCCCAUGCUCCACUGGGUGUCUCCAGGCUCUCCCCUCAUGAGCAGGAUUCCAUAGGUGAGAGCAGCUGAGGUUUCCUCCUACCAGGAUCUAUGUGUCACACACACAGCCAGGUAGUCAGUGUACCCAGUGUAGUCUGAAGGGCUAUGUCCACCUGCCUCCUGUGGAGCUGAUUCUCCCCCAGUCCACGUGGUCCCCACCUCGCUCUCCCUGUCCUCUGGUUUUGCAGUUAGGUCUGGCCAACAAGAGGCACUUUUGGAAAGUAGGGAGAGCACGGGCUUUUUUUUUUUCUCCCCAGAAUCUAUUUCCUGGCCCCAUCCUGCUGGGCUAUAACCAGCAUGGCUUCACUCCUCUUCUCCAAGCCAGAGCCCCUGGGGGGCAGCAGCCCUAAGACCACCACCACCUGAGCUCCAGUACCUGCUGCUCCCUCUUCCCAACACUGGCUCAUGGAUGAUGGUCUGAGCUACCUGCUUUUGCUUUGGAGCUGCGGGUCCUUCUGCUGAGUCCCCUUUAUAACUGCUCUGUUUCUCCUUAAUCUUUCUUCAUCCACCACUUUAAUCCUACUGUCUGCUUCCCGAGGGACACCGUAACUUAGGUUUGCCAAAGUUAUAUGUGGAGUUCCCACUGUGGCACAGUGGGUUAAGAACCAAGGUGCAGCGGUUUGGGUCCCUUUGGAUAGGGGGUUUGAUCCCCAGAGGGAGCAGUGGGUUAAAGAAUCCCACAUAGGUCACAGCUGCCGUUCAGAUUCAAUCCCUGGUUCAUACACCUCCUGUAGGGCUAUUAAAAAAAAAAAUCUCCAUAUACAGAGAAUUUUUUCAAGCUUUAUUUAUAAACUUACAAAUGUCAAUACCCAAAAGAUUUAGAAAACCUGAUGUGAAAUGCAGAAGAUACACAAUAAACAUUACUUAAAUGUUGAAAACCA